CGUGGUUAACCUGCCCUUGGGACGGAAACACCCCCGGGAAACUGGGGCUAAUUUCCGAUAGGUGAAGACUCCUGGAAUGGAUCUUCGCCUAAAGGGCGCUUAGGCCAUGCUUCUAAGUGCUGCCCAAGGAUGGGACCGCGGCCGAUCAGGUUGUUGGUGAGGUAAUGGCUCACCAAGCCUUUAACCGGUUCGGGCCGUGGGAGCGGGAGCCCGGAGAUGGGCACUGAGACAAGGGCCCAGGUCCUACGGGGCGCAGCAGUCGCGAAAACUCCGCAAUACGCGAAGGCGUGACGGGGCUAUCCCGAGUGCCGUCCGCUGAGGAUGGCUUUUCCCCAGUGUAGAUAGCUGGGGGAAUAAGGAGAGGGCAAGUCUGGUGUCAGCCGCCGCGGUAAUACCAGCUCUCCGAGUGGUGGGGACGUUUAUUGGGCCUAAAGCAUCCGUAGCCAGCUGAGCAAGUCCCCAGUUAAAUCCAGCGAUUUAAUCGUUGGACUGCUGGGGAUACUGUCCGGCUAGGGGGUGGGAGAGGCCGACGGUAUUCCCGGGGUAGGGGUGAAAUCCUAUAAUCCCGGGAGGACCACCAGUGGCGAAGGCUGUUGGCUAAAACAUGCCCGACGGUGAGGGAUGAAAGCUGGGGGAGCGAACCGGAUUAGAUACCCGGGUAGUCCCAGCUGU
rnacentral:rRNA from 1 species